rnacentral:rRNA from 1 species
GUCGACAGCCGUCCCGGCCUGGACACCCCCGACCUCGUCUCAUCUCAGAAGCUAAGCAGGGUCAGGCCUGGUUAGUACUUACUUAGGAAUGCAGGAGGGUCCCCG